CUUGCUCCUCCUCUCUGCAGAGUCACCAUGUGAGCCCAGGAAGACAGGAUGCUUGUCACUGGUGUCCAUUGAUGGACGUCUAGGCUAUUUCCAACUUCUGGCUAUUACCAAUAGAACAGCAGUGAACACGGAUGAGCAAGUCUCCCUGUGAUGUGCCGAGGCUGACUUCACACACGCUGAGGAUUUGGAAACCCGAACCUGAAAGGGAAUGGCUCAGUGACUCUUCAGAUUGGACUGUGAUGAGACUUCUCCUUGGAGACGCAGCCGCCACAGCGAAAGCUUCACGGAGACACAGUCUCCACAAAGGAAAUUCUGCCUGGAUAAGAGGGCGAGUUCAAGGAAUGGCCCCGCCCUUUUUGAGCUGGAAGAGAAAUGCAAGAUCUAGAGAGCAAUGGUGAAUAGAUGUCCUGCAGUGUCCUCCCGAGAGCCUGUGAGUUUAGCAGAGCAUUCCAUGUGUUCACAGGGGAAGACGGGAGUUUCUCCGACAUGCCUCGAUUGAGCAAGAGUGACGCACCAAGUUCGUGAAGAAAGUGAUUAUAGCGCAUAGCAACUUAACCCUGCAUGUGGAAUACUUAGGACAUUCCAAAGAUUCCAGCUAAUACUCAUUUCUUAACACUAACGCUCUACUAAGCAUUUUUUUAUUUACAUGUAAAAAACGAGCAGCCUAAUAUAUGGCAUAAAACUCAUCAAACAUUAAAAAAAACAAAGUGUAUAGCCC
rnacentral:lncRNA from 1 species